rnacentral:hammerhead_ribozyme from 1 species
ACUGGCUGACGAGUCCCAAAUAGGACGAAACGCGCGUCCUGAAU